UUCCGGGCCGGUGCCGCCGAGGUCGCUCCCGUAAAGUUUUCGCGCCAUUGUCUUUUAUUUGGCGCAAAAGGAAAAAGAAAGACAAACACAGGACAAACACAAGACACACGCGCGCGCAAGGGCCGGCAUGCACACGGAGCAAUAGAGGCAAAAGAUAUGCACCAUGCUUGUGAUUCUCUUUUUUUAUCACAUGCGCGCAUCAGAAGGGAAUGGUAUGGAUGGGCGACUUUAGCACGUCUGUUGCAGCCCAAAUGGCCGCGCCAUGAACAACCAACAGGCAGCUGACGCCGCGCAGGGAGCCCCUGUCUUUUGCACGGAGAUCCUUCCAAUGUGUGCCGGGCACCUUGACGGCGAAUCGCACAUGUUGCCACGAUCGGGCGCACGGAUCGCGGCGCGCGCGCGCCUCGGUGACGACGUCGACGAGCGGCCUCGUGUCGCCACUGGCAAAAGAGAGCAUGCCGUAACUAUGCGCGCGCAGCGGACGCGCAGAGACGUCGACGACGAUCACGGGGGCAAACUCCUGCUCGUGGUGACCGCACCAGAAAUCGUCCGAUUGCAAACAGGAGGCAUCGUCGGCGCCCGCCAGGGAAUCAUCGACAUAGGCGGUGAUGGUCGUCAAGUUGUCUCGGUAGAGGCACAUGUUCCCUCGCGCUUCUGGAUCAACGCGACACCACGGACUGUAUCCACACGUGAGGUAGACGGCAGCGUCGCGACCGGCACCCACGACGGCCUUGGCGAGUGCGAUGAUAUCAGCCCACGUCGUCGCGGCGCUGUCAUGGGCCGUGGCCGCGUGGCGGUGUUCAUACCAAUCGCCGGCCACGGCAUAGGUGUCGGGCUUGAGAUCAAACCGAUAUCUAUCGAAAACGCGCAAGGUGAUGCAUCUCUGCUCAUCUGGUUCGUUCUCGUAGCGUCGGCGGCUGAGCGCGAUUUGUGCGGCGUCAAACAAUGCAUCGAGUUGGUACUAGUCGGCGAUGGCGCGCACGCCCCAAAGGUCAUACGGCGACCGCAGAUGCGCGACAAGGUCGACGCCGUGUCUCUGGCAGUCGAGCACAAUGGCAAAAUGGCGUGGGUUUUGAUCGAUGCAAAGCCGGCCGUCCAAGGUGGGGGUGUGCCAUCGGGCGUCAUUGCUCGCCAUCAAGGCCAGGAGCGACUCGUGUCGUGAGUCGCUCUUCAUCGUGGCACGCGAGCGUAGCGUCGAUUUGCUCACGUCCAUGGGUUCGGCGCUGCCCCCUACCGCCAAUCGCACGAUGCCGUCGCGUUGUUGAACGGCAUCGCCUGGAUCGCACGUCUGCGUUGGCGCGUGCGUGACCGCACUGCCGUCGAUCCAAACGACCAGACCGUCGCAAGACAGAGACGACGAUGGACCUUCGCGGUCGGCGAGCAGCGACAUUGCGACCGCAGCGUCAUAAGGGCGCAUACAGUCGAGCGCCCCUGUGCCGUGCCUCAGACAGUCGACCAUACGAUCAAAAUGCGCCGCGCAUUCGUCCACAAAGCAGACCUCUCCGUCCGACUGAGGCGCGGUUAAAAGCGCUCGUGCGCGCGAGCCAGGCGGCGCCAGACCGGCCAGCGUCUUUUCGACACGCCUCGUCACGCCACCGACAUUAAGCCGGAGAUGGGUCGCGCUCGGGGGUGUGGCACGCUCGUCCACGUCCAUGGCUGCUGUGCCUGCUUUUUCCUUUUCCUCCUCUUAUUCGAAAAUCUAUGGCUAUGGGCUUCUUUCUUUUUCCCCUUUCCUUUGCUGGCGCGCCAGGCGGUUCACCUUCUUUUCCACUCGCUUUUCGUGUGCUCUUUGUGGGAGGAUCAAAUAUUCUUUUGUGGU
rnacentral:lncRNA from 1 species